rfam:Desulfovibrio sp. DV contig00041, whole genome shotgun sequence.
AGGCGAAACCGUUCCCCUCGGAGCGGUCGGCCGGGUGUGGUGGCCCGGCCCUGAUGAGCCAGCCGCUC